rnacentral:tRNA from 1 species
GGGGUUGUAGCUCAGCUGGGAGAGCGCUUGCUUCGCAUGUAAGAGGUCGCGGGUUCGAAUCCCGUCAUCUCCACCA